UACGUAGGGCGCAAGCGUUGUCCGGAAUUAUUGGGCGUAAAGAGCGCGCAGGCGGUCGUUUAAGUCGAAUGUGAAAGCCCCCGGCUCAACUGGGGAGGGUCAUUCGAUACUGAUCGACUUUGAAGGCAGGAGAGAGAAGUGGAAUUCCCGGUGUAGUGGUGAAAUGCGUAGAUAUCGGGAGGAACACCAGUGGCGAAGGCGGCUUUCUGGACGAUAACGUGACGCUGAGACGCGAAAGCGUGGGGAGCAAACAGG
rnacentral:rRNA from 1 species